UUUUUGAAAAUAAUAUAAAGUCUAACCUGCCCAUUGAAUUAAUUUAAAAGGCCGCAGUAUUUUAACUGUGCAAAGGUAGCAUAAUCAUUAGUUUUCUAAUUAAAAGCUAGAAUGAAUGGUUUGAUAAGAAAAAAACUGUUUCAAUACUAACUAACUUAAAUUUUAUUUUUAAGUUAAAAAGCUUAAAUAUAUUUAAAAGACGAGAAGACCCUAUAGAGUUUUAUUUUAUUAAAUUAAUUUUAAAUAAUUUUCUUAUAAAAUUAAAAUUUUAUAAAAUUAAAUUGGGGUGAUUAAAAAAUUUAAAAAACUUUUUUUUAUUAUUAAACAUAAAUAAAUGAAUGCUUGAUCCAUAAAAAUGAUUAGAAGAUUAAAUUACCUUAGGGAUAACAGCGUAAUUUUUUUAGAGAGUUCAAAUCGAUAAAAAAGCUUGCGACCUCGAUGUUGGAUUAAAAUUUAUUGAUAACGCAAAAGUUAUACAAUUAGGUCUGUUCGACCUUUAAAAUUUUACA
rnacentral:rRNA from 1 species